GGUCUCGUAGCUCAGUUGGUUAGAGUAUUGGUCUUAUGAGCCGAAGGUUGCGGGUUCAAGUCUUGCCGGGACCA